ACGGCCUCGGCCGGGGUGGCGGCGCCGCCGGUCCACUCGGCGGGCACGCCCUCGGGCCAGGCGGCGGGGACGAUCGAGUCGACCAGGCCGUGC
rnacentral:tRNA from 1 species